AGAGUUUGAUCAUGGCUCAGAGCGAACGCUGGCGGCAUGCUUAACACAUGCAAGUCGCACGGGCAGCAAUGUCAGUGGCGGACGGGUGAGUAACGCGUAGGUAUCUAUCUCUGGGUGGGGGACAACUGUGGGAAACUACAGCUAAUACCGCAUGACACCUGAGGGUCAAAGGCGCAAGUCGCCUGGAGAGGAGCCUGCGUACGAUUAGCUAGUUGGUGGGGUAAAGGCCUACCAAGGCGACGAUCGUUAGCUGGUCUGAGAGGAUGAUCAGCCACAUUGGGACUGAGACACGGCCCAAACUCCUACGGGAGGCAGCAGUGGGGAAUAUUGGACAAUGGGCGAAAGCCUGAUCCAGCAAUGCCGCGUGUGUGAAGAAGGUCUUCGGAUUGUAAAGCACUUUCGACGGGGACGAUGAUGACGGUACCCGUAGAAGAAGCCCCGGCUAACUUCGUGCCAGCAGCCGCGGUAAUACGAAGGGGGCUAGCGUUGCUCGGGAUGACUGGGCGUAAAGGGCGCGUAGGCGGAUGGUACAGUCAGAUGUGAAAUUCCCGGGCUUAACCUGGGGGCUGCAUUUGAUACGUGUGAUCUAGAGUGAGGAAGAGGGUCGUGGAAUUCCCAGUGUAGAGGUGAAAUUCGUAGAUAUUGGGAAGAACACCGGUGGCGAAGGCGGCGACCUGGUCCUUUUACUGACGCUGAGGCGCGAAAGCGUGGGGAGCAAACAGGAUUAGAUACCCUAGUAGUCC
rnacentral:rRNA from 1 species